UAAUGAAUAUUAUUAAUUGAUUUUUGGGUCUUCCAUUUCUGCCUGACGCAAGCUGAGAAUGGAGGAGUUUGAACGAAGAAAAAAUUUGCAUUGAGAUUGAGGGCUUUCUUCAUCUUGCCCAUCUCCUCCUCCUCCUCCUCCUCCUCCUCCUCCUCCUCUCUGCAUCUUUAUUUGCUUUUCCCCUCUUAGACUUCCCGAAUUGCUCCGAUUUCUUUCCCUUCUCCGAUUUCGUGAAGGGAUACACCAGAAAGGAGCAGCAAAAUGAAGACUUCUUUGAGGAAGUUGACGGGUUUUGGACUGCACAAGCACGAACCUAAGGGCCGUGUAGAUCCUCGUCCUUUGGCUCAAUUGGAUGAGCUUGCUCAGGCUGCUCGGGACAUGGAAGAAAUGAGAGACUGUUAUGAUAGCUUACUUUCUGCAGCUGCCGCUACCGAAAAUAGUGCUUACGAAUUCUCAGUGUCUUUACAAGAAAUGGGUGCAUGUCUUCUUGAGAAAACUGCACUGAAUGAUGAUGAAGACAGUGGUAAGGUUCUGAUAAUGCUGGGAAAGGUGCAGUUUGAACUCCAGAAACUUGUAGAUCGAUAUCGAUCUCAUAUUUCACAAACUAUAACACGCCCAUCUGAGUCUCUUCUGAAUCAACUUCGAACUGUUGAGGAGAUGAAAAGACAAUGCGACGAGAAAAGAGAAGUAUAUGAGUACAUGAGACUGAGGCACAAGGAGAAGGGGAGGUCAAAAUCCGUGAAAGGAGAGAGCUUUACAUUGCAACAAUUACAAACAGCUCGAGAAGAAUAUGAUGAUGAGGCAACACUAUUUGUUUUCCGGUUGAAAUCUUUGAAGCAAGGACAGUCUCAUAGUCUUCUCACACAGGCUGCUCGUCACCAUGCUACUCAGUUAUGUUUCUUCAAGAAGGCACUUCAAUCACUUGAAGCAGUGGAACCACAUGUCAAAUCACUGACAGAACAACAGCACAUUGAUUACCGAUUCAGUGGACUGGAAGACGACAGUGUGGAUGAUGGGAAUAAUGAUGGUGUUGAUGAUGAUGAUGGCUAUGAUGAUGGGGAUGAUGGGGAAUUAAGUUUUGAUUAUGGGCAAAAUGAUCACGAUCAAGAUACAUUAAGAAAUUCUAAGGUGGACCAGUCAGAUCUUGCAUUUCAUCAUGUGGAAGCUGUGAAGGAAAAUCUUGACAGAAAUCGUAGGAAUUCCUUUUCUUUUGGUGGUAGAACAGUAAGCCAGUCUGCCCCACUUUUUCCCGAAAAAAAAUUUGAUGCUGCUGAAAGAAUAAGACAGAUGCGGCUUUCAUCAACCCGGCAGUUCCACACAUAUGUUCUACCCACCCCAGCUGAUACAAACGGUUCAAUUUCUGGGGGUCCUGCAAAUCCGGUAACUAACACCACACAGACAAUAAGUCAGCAAAAUUUAUGGCGGCACUCAUCACCAUUGGAACCAAGGAAGUACAACAAGUUAGUGGGAGAUGAAAAUAUGUCAGGACAUGCUGCUGCAAAGGCGCAGUCUGUACUGAAGGAGAGUAACACUAACGCAUCAUCCACUCAGUUACCUCCUCCUUUGUCUGAUGGGUUGCUACAGCACAGUCUAGCUGCUGCUUCUGAUGCUAAAAAUUUUAAGAGACUAGCCUUUUCGGGCCCUUUAAUAGGUAAGCCAUCAACUAACAAGCCUGUUACAAUAAAAAAAACCCAGUUGUUUUCAGGACCUCUCUUGCGAAAUCCAAUACCACAACCUUUGUCAUCAUCACCAAAAGUGUCUCCAGUUGCUUCCCCUACUUUUAUUUCCACACCUAAAAUAAAUGAGCUUCAUGAGCUUCCUAGGCCUCCCAUUAGUUCAACAUAUAAGUCGUCAAGACCUUCAAGUUUAGUUGGCCACUCUGCUCCUUUGGUAUCCAAAAGCCAAGGACUCUCUACUGCAACUAAAACUGUUGUAAGGAGUACAGCAUCUCCAUUGCCAAUGCCUCCUCUUCAAACCAUCACACGCAGUUUCUCCAUUCCGUCCCGGAGUCCUAGGGAGACAGAGACCUUAUUUCACGAGCCAAAGCCUCUGGAAACUGUUCGAUCUUCUGAAAUGGCACCAGACUCAUCUUCACCUCCCUUGACACCACUUACCUUUUCUAACAACCGGAGUCAUACAUCAACAGGUUCAGAGAAUGGUCCUGCAAGUUAAAGGUGGUCACAGGCAAUUUCCAUGAGAGGGACUCAUGACUUUUGAACCAUGCUGAGUUAAUUCAGUAGUAAGAAUUAGGUUGUGUUGGGUAAAGGCGAAAUAAAUCAACAAGAUCGCCCUCUUAUGUGGAGCAGAUUGAUGAAACCUUAUGUGGAGAUUCUAGUCGAUUGAUGGCAGUCGGAAACGGUCAGGGCCGAACAUAAUUGUUUCCAACUAUCAUCAAGUACAGGUCUAAUGUUGUAAAUAAUUCCUCAUCUAUUCUGUUCUCAUUUCAUGGUGACAAUUUGGCACGUAAUUAACUAAAUAAUUGCCAUUGGGUUCAUCAUUCGACGAGUUUUGUUAUCUCCCCAAGCAAUUAAUGGGGAAGAAAAAAAAAGGAAAAUUUUCACCCAUCCCCCAAAAAGAACCUAGAAUAACAAAAAUUAUUUCCCUUCCAAUUUUGUACCCUUUAGUUUACAUUUGCUAGGUUGAGAAAUGAAUGCUUCUACAAAAUGUUGAAUGUACUGUGACACUCUUCUUUCCUUCAUGGAUCGAGUAACCUUUCUUUAAUCGAUAUGGGAAGAUUGUGUACACAAAUUCAACGUUAGAUAACACUUUUGUUAACGGUUGACCUGUAUGACUAUUAUUCUAGUUGUAUAUGCAUUUAUGCAGUCUGGUGUGAUUGAUGUA